rnacentral:tRNA from 38 species
GCGAUCGUAGCUCAGCUGGAUAGAGCGUUCGGCUCCGACCCGGAAGGCCAGAGGUUCGAAUCCUCCCGGUCGCACCA